GAGAGCUUGCUCUCGGGUGACGAGUGGCGGACGGGUGAGUAAUGUCUGGGAAACUGCCUGAUGGAGGGGGAUAACUACUGGAAACGGUAGCUAAUACCGCAUAACGUCGCAAGACCAAAGAGGGGGACCUUCGGGCCUCUUGCCAUCAGAUGUGCCCAGAUGGGAUUAGCUAGUAGGUGGGGUAACGGCUCACCUAGGCGACGAUCCCUAGCUGGUCUGAGAGGAUGACCAGCCACACUGGAACUGAGACACGGUCCAGACUCCUACGGGAGGCAGCAGUGGGGAAUAUUGCACAAUGGGCGCAAGCCUGAUGCAGCCAUGCCGCGUGUAUGAAGAAGGCCUUCGGGUUGUAAAGUACUUUCAGCGGGGAGGAAGGUGUUGUGGUUAAUAACCGCAGCAAUUGACGUUACCCGCAGAAGAAGCACCGGCUAACUCCGUGCCAGCAGCCGCGGUAAUACGGAGGGUGCAAGCGUUAAUCGGAAUUACUGGGCGUAAAGCGCACGCAGGCGGUCUGUCAAGUCGGAUGUGAAAUCCCCGGGCUCAACCUGGGAACUGCAUUCGAAACUGGCAGGCUAGAGUCUUGUAGAGGGGGGUAGAAUUCCAGGUGUAGCGGUGAAAUGCGUAGAGAUCUGGAGGAAUACCGGUGGCGAAGGCGGCCCCCUGGACAAAGACUGACGCUCAGGUGCGAAAGCGUGGGGAGCAAACAGGAUUAG
rnacentral:rRNA from 1 species